rnacentral:rRNA from 1 species
GAUUUCUGGCUAGGCGCGCACGGCUCGCCACGUUUACGUGAGUGAAUGCCGUGGUGCGCCGGUCAUCCUUCUGGUGAGCGUUGAUGCCCUUCACUGGGUGGUUGACGAACAUCAGAUCCUUUACUUUGAAAAAAUUAGAGUGUUUAAAGCAGGCAAGCGCUAUGAAUACAUUAGCAUGGAAUAAUAAUUUAGGACUUUGGUUCUAUUUUGUUGGUUUCUAGGACUGAAGUAAUGAUUGAUAGGGACAGUUGGGGGUGCUAGUAUUCGGCGGCCAGAGGUGAAAUUCUUGGAUUCGCUGAAGACUAACUUAUGCGAAAGCAUU